AAGCUUAGGGCUCCUCAGCUGUGACACAGAGCCGCAGUGUGAACAUAGAGCAUCCACCUGGGCAAGCUCCACACCACUCCCAUGAGGCUGGUGACUCUACUCACUACGGCAAGAUGAUUUGGAAGCACAAUGAGGAGAAAAGAGAACUAAGGAGGACAUCUUUAUAGGAGAUCAUUUUCCUGUAAAACAGGAACCUGAGUUGUACAAGAGCAAUGAGUUUUAGAAGAAUGUCCCUUUGAAAACCAUCCUUUAGAUAAAACUUAGAACCAUGACCAGAGGAAGAAGAGCCUUCUGGAAUACAAAACAGCAGACUCUAGAUGGAGACUGGAAGACUGGAGGAGGGGAAAAGACCCAGACGCCUUCUUGGUUCCUGCUGUUCCCAUCUGUACCGGCCCAGCAAUGCUUCUCACCCUAGCAGUAGUUGGUCCCCAAAGCAGCAAUUAGUUCUACUGUCUGUUUUUUUUUCCUCCACUCCUAAAACCACCCACUUACCAAUAUCAGAACCAUACAGGUGGCCUUCCCUCCUCUAUGGCCUGAGUCCUGUUUUCAGGGCACCAGCUGACAGUUUCCUCCUCUGAAGUCUGGAAGGGCCCCUCCUUCAAGCUUCUAAGCUCUAAAAUCCCAGCCACUUCCUUUUGUUCCCCAGCCCAAGGGCCUGUAGCUGCUUCCUGCAGCUUUGGGUUUCUUCACUAUUCCUUUUACUCUUUUCCAUCUUUCCAUAUAUUUAACAGCUUCCAUAAAGUAAUUUGUCUCGUCAGAAUAACUUGCCGGGGGCUUCCCUGGUGGCGCAGUGGUUGAGAGUCCACCUGCCGAUGCAGGGGACAUGGGUUCGUGCCCCGGUCCGGGAA